CAGUCGCCGCGGUAAUACGAAGGGUGCAAGCGUUAAUCGGAAUUACUGGGCGUAAAGCGUGCGUAGGCGGUGAGUUAAGUCCGUUGUGUAAGCCCUGGGCUCAACCUGGGAAUUGCAGUGGAUACUGGGUCACUAGAGUGUGGUAGAGGAUAGUGGAAUUUCCGGUGCAGCAGUGAAAUGCGUAGAGAUCGGGAGGAACAUCAGUGGCGAAGGCGGCCAUCUGGGACAACACUGACGCUGAGGCACGAAAGCGUGGGGAGCAAACAGGAUUAGAUACCCCAGUAGUCCCUGUCUCUUAUAC
rnacentral:rRNA from 1 species